UAUACCGUGGGCUAUGCUAGCUGUGAAAGA
rnacentral:piRNA from 1 species